rnacentral:rRNA from 1 species
UAAUAGCGUAUAUUAAAGUUGUUGCAGUUAAAAAGCUCGUAGUCGGAUGUCGGGCUCGGGCAGGCUGUCGGCUUCGGUCGGACGGCAGGCUCGGGUCUUUCUGCCUGAGGAUCCCGUUGCACUUAAUUGUGGGGCGUGGGGACGCAGGCCGUUUACUUUGAAAAAAUUAGAGUGUUCAAAGCAGGCUUUCGCUUGAAUACAUUAGCAUGGAAUAAUAAGAUAGGACUUUGGUGCUAUUUUGUUGGUUGAGCCUAAAGUAAUGAUUAAUAGGGAUAGUUGGGGGCACCUGUAUUGCGUUGUCAGAGGUGAAAUUCUUGGAUUUACGCAAGACAAACAGCUGCGAAAGCGUCUGCCAAGGAUGUUUNCAUUA